ACUGUUAAUGAAAUAUGUUUAUUACACAUCUUCUCUGUUAAAAAGUUUGUUUCCGGUUAAGUGGGAAUCUGGAUUCAAAAUUUCCUGAUGAAAUCUGAAGAGCACAAACGAUUCCACAUCAAGUCAGCUCUUAAGAGAAGACCGAUUCGUCAUCAAGUCUGACAUGGCAAGACAAAUGAUACGAAUGAUUAACAAUGAAUGUGGAAACCGGGACUGUGUGGUGCAUUCGUUGAUGUGAA